GCAGUCUGCAACUCGACUGCGUGAAGGUGGAGUCGCUAGUAAUCGCGGAUCAGCAACGCCGCGGUGAAUGCGUUCCCGGGCCUUGUACACACCGCCCGUCAAGUCAUGAAAGUGGGCAGCACCCGAAGACGGUGGCCUAACCCUUGUGGGGGGAGCCGUCUAAGGUGAGGCUCGUGAUUGGGACUAAGUCGUAACAAGGUAUC
rnacentral:rRNA from 1 species